UACGGAGGGUGCGAGCGUUGUCCGGAAUCAUUGGGCGUAAAGGGCGCGUAGGUGGCUUCUUAAGCGUGCGGUGAAAGCCCGGGGCUCAACUCCGGAAUUGCCUUUAAGACUGCAUCGCUAGAAUUGUGGAGAGGUAAGUGGAAUUCCGAGUGUAGAGGUGAAAUUCGUAGAUAUUCGGAAGAACACCAGUGGCGAAGGCGACUUACUGGACACAUAUUGACGCUGAGGUGCGAAAGCGUGGGGAGCAAACAGG
rnacentral:rRNA from 1 species